UACGGAGGGUGCAAGCGUUAUCCGGAUUCACUGGGUUUAAAGGGUGCGUAGGCGGGCAGGUAAGUCAGUGGUGAAAUCUCCGAGCUUAACUUGGAAACUGCCGUUGAUACUAUCUGUCUUGAAUAUUGUGGAGGUGAGCGGAAUAUGUCAUGUAGCGGUGAAGUGCUUAGAUAUGACAUAGAACACCAAUUGCGAAGGCAGCUCGCUACACAUAUAUUGACGCUGAGGCACGAAAGCGUGGGGAGCAAACAGG
rnacentral:rRNA from 1 species